GAUGAACGCUGGCGGCGUGCCUAAUACAUGCAAGUCGAGCGAACGGACGAGAAGCUUGCUUCUCUGAUGUUAGCGGCGGACGGGUGAGUAACACGUGGAUAACCUACCUAUAAGACUGGGAUAACUUCGGGAAACCGGAGCUAAUACCGGAUAAUAUUUUGAACCGCAUGGUUCAAAAGUGAAAGACGGUCUUGCUGUCACUUAUAGAUGGAUCCGCGCUGCAUUAGCUAGUUGGUAAGGUAACGGCUUACCAAGGCAACGAUGCAUAGCCGACCUGAGAGGGUGAUCGGCCACACUGGAACUGAGACACGGUCCAGACUCCUACGGGAGGCAGCAGUAGGGAAUCUUCCGCAAUGGGCGAAAGCCUGACGGAGCAACGCCGCGUGAGUGAUGAAGGUCUUCGGAUCGUAAAACUCUGUUAUUAGGGAAGAACAUAUGUGUAAUUAACUGUGCACAUCUUGACGGUACCUAAUCAGAAAGCCACGGCUAACUUCGUG
rnacentral:rRNA from 1 species